GGGAAGGUUGCUCAGUGGUAGAGUGCUUGCCUUGCAUGCAUGAGGUCCUGGGUUCAAUUCCUCAGCACCA
rnacentral:tRNA from 1 species